GGGGGCGUAGCUCAGAUGGUAGAGCAAUUGCUUAGUAUGAGAGAGGUACGGGGAUCGAUACCCCGCGUCUCAA
rnacentral:tRNA from 1 species